GCGGGGGUGCCCGAGGUGGCCAAAGGGGCAGGACUUAAGAUCCUGUGGCUUAGGCCUACGUGGGUUCGAAUCCCAUCCCCCGC
rnacentral:tRNA from 1 species